GGGUAAAGGCUCACCAAGGCGACGAUCUCUAGCUGGUCUGAGAGGAUGAUCAGCCACACUGGGACUGAGACACGGCCCAGACUCCUACGGGAGGCAGCAGUGGGGAAUAUUGGACAAUGGGGGCAACCCUGAUCCAGCCAUGCCGCGUGUGUGAAGAAGGCUUUCGGGUUGUAAAGCACUUUCAGACAGGAGGAAGGGGUUUCGGUUAAUACCCGAGAUCAUUGACGUUACUGUCAGAAGAAGCACCGGCUAACUCCGUGCCAGCAGCCGCGGUAAUACGGAGGGUGCGAGCGUUAAUCGGAAUUACUGGGCGUAAAGCGCGCGUAGGCGGCAAGUUAAGUUGGGUGUGAAAGCCCCGGGCUCAACCUGGGAAUUGCAUUCAAAACUGGCUCGCUUGAGUACGGCAGAGGAGUGUGGAAUUUCCGGUGUAGCGGU
rnacentral:rRNA from 1 species